UACGUAGGGUGCAAGCGUUUAAUCGGAAUACUGGGCGUAAAGCGUGCGCAGGCGGUUUUGUAAGUCUGUCGUGAAAGCCCCCGGGCUCAACCUGGGGAAUUGCGAUGGAGACUGCAAGGCUUGAAUCUGGCAGAGGGGGGGUAGAAUUCCACGUGUAGCAGUGAAAUGCGUAGAGAUGUGGAGGAACACCGGAUGGCGAAGGCAGCCCCCCUGGGUCAAGAUUGACGCUCAUGCACGAAAGCGUGGGGAGCAAACAGG
rnacentral:rRNA from 1 species